rnacentral:rRNA from 1 species
UACAGAGGGUGCGAGCGUUGUCCGGAAUCACUGGGCGUAAAGGGUGCGUAGGCGGUCUUUUAAGUCAGCGGUGAAAUCCUCCAGCUUAACUGGAGAACUGCCAUUGAUACUGGAAGACUUGAGUACAGACGAGGUAGGCGGAAUUGACAGUGUAGCGGUGAAAUGCAUAGAUAUUGUCAAGAACACCGAUUGCGAAGGCAGCUUACUAGACUGUAACUGACGCUGAGGCACGAAAGUGUGGGGAUCAAACAGG